CCCUUAGAUGUUCUGGGCCGCACGCGCGCUACACUGAUGCAUUCAACGAGCACCCGCUGGGCCGAGAGGUCCGGCUAAUCUUUGAACGUGCAUCGUGCUGGGGAUAGAUGAUUGCAAUUAUUCAUCUUCAACGAGGAAUUCCUAGUAAACGCAAGUCAUCAGCUUGCAUUGAUUACGUCCCUGCCCUUUGUACACGCCGCCCGUCGCACCUACCGAUUGAAUGGUCCGGUGAAAUUCUCGGACGCGGACUUGCGAUGUUAAUUCGGAGCUUGACUGUGAAAGUUAAUUAAACCUUACCAUUUAGAGGAAGGUGAAGUCGUAACA
rnacentral:rRNA from 1 species